UUAGUGCUAAAAAUGGUGUA
rnacentral:siRNA from 1 species